rnacentral:lncRNA from 1 species
AUGGGAUCAGGGUUGGGAUCAGGAUGGGAUCAGGAUGGGAUCAGGGUUGGGAUCAGGAUGGGAUCAGGAUGGGAUCAGGGUUGGGAUCGGGGUUGGGAUCAGGAUGGGAUCGGGAUGGGAUCAGGGUUGGGAUCGGGAUGGGAUCAGGAUGGGAUCAGGGUUGGGAUCGGGGUUGGGAUCAGGAUGGGAUCAGGGUUGGGAUCGGGAUGGGAUCAGGGUUGGGAUCGGGAUGGGAUCAGGAUGGGAUCAGGAUUGGAUCAGGACGGGAUCAGGGUUGGGAUCGGGGUUGGGUUUAGGGCUGGGGCUGUGGUGACACCCCGAGUGCAGCUGCCAAGACAAUCCUGGGAUGGUCCCUGGGUUUGGAGGCCCCCGUGGAAUUUUCCCGGCGCCAUUCCCGGCGCCAUUCCCAGUGCGUUCCUGUUCCCAUUCCCAUCCCGUUCCCAUUCCCAUCCCGUCCCCGUUCCCAUCCCGGUGCUGUUCCCGUUCCCAUUCCCAUCCCGUCCCCGUUCCCAUCCCGGUGCUGUUCCCGUUCCCAGUGUGCCCGGACCUGGUGGACAAGUACCUGGAGGAGACGUCCAUCCGCUACGUCACGCCCCGCGCGCCCGGGGGGGCCCCGCCCGGCCUCGGCCACCCCCACAAAUCAGGUACGGCCGGCUGGGUCCUGUGGGAUCGUUAUGUGUCCUUUGGGAUCGUUAUCCAUCCUUUGGGAUCGUUAUCCAUCCUUUGGGAUCAUUAUCUGUCCUUUGGGAUCGUUAUCCGUGCUUUGGGAUCGUUAUGUGUCCUGUGGGAUCGUUAUCCGUCCUUUGGGAUCGUUAUCCGUCCUUUGGGAUCGUUUUCUGUGCUUUGGGAUCAUUAUCUGUGCUUUGGGAUCGUUAUCUGUCCUUUGGGAUCAUUAUCUGUGCUUUGGGAUCGUUAUCCUUCCUUUGGGAUCGUUAUCUGUGCUUUGGGAUCGUUAUCUGUGCUUUGGGAUCGUUAUCUGUGCUUUGUCCUUUGGGAUCGUUAUCCAUCCUUUGGGAUCGUUAUCCGUCCUGUGGGGUCGUUAUCCAUCCUUUGGGAUCGUUAUCCGUCCUUUGGGAUCAUUAUCUGUGCUUUGGGAUCGUUAUCUGUGCUUUGGGAUCGUUAUCCGUCCUUUGGGAUCGUUAUCUGUGCUUUGGGAUCGUUAUCGGUCCUUUGGGAUCGUUAUCCGUCCUUUGGGAUCGUUAUCCAUCCUUUGGGAUCGUUAUCCAUCCUUUGGGAUCGUUAUCUGUCCUUUGGGAUCGUUAUCUGUCCUUUGGGAUCGUUAUGUGUCCUUUGGGAUCGUUAUCCAUCCUUUGGGAUCGUUAUCCGUCCUUUGGGAUCACUGUCACCCAUUUGGGAUCAUCACCCCCCCUUUGGGAUCAUCCCAGAGUUCCCCACCUCGGAGCCUCUCGGGGCUCUGGGUUUAGGAUCCGUGCCCAGAUCAACGGGGGGGGUUCAAGGAUUUGGGGCAGGAAUUGGGGUCACCUUAAUGAGGAGGGGAAUUUGGGGGUCCCUGGGUUGGGAAUUGGGGUCACCCAGGGACCCCCCCUCAGGGCAUCCCAAAAUUCCCACUCCAGCCCCCUUGCGGGGCUCUGCCCGGAUCUGUGGGGGAAUUUAUGGGGUCGGGGGGGACUGGGCUCACCCUUAGUGGGGGGAUUGGGGUCCCCCUCAAUGGAUGGGGGAGAUUUGGGGUCCCUGACCCCACUGGUUCCCCAGUGCCUGUCCCCCCGUCCCUGUGCUGACCCCCAGGGUGGGAUUUGGGGUCCCUGGGGCUGGAUUUGGGGUCCCUGACCCCAUUGGUGUCCCGUUCCCCAGUGCCUGCCCCCCACCCAUCCCUGUGCUGCCCCCCGGGGUGGGAUUUAGGGUCCCUGGGGAUGGAUUUGGGGUCCCUGGGGUGGGAUUUGGGAUGGAUUUGGGGUCCCUGGGGUGGGAUUUGGGGUCCCUGACCCCA